AUUAUAGGAUCCAGUGUCCUGUGAUUCAGGAUGAGAAACAAAGGAGUGGCCUAGAUGUUACACUGUAAAAGAAAAAGUCAAUAAACAAACGCCUGCUUCAACAAACUGUUCAAAGACAGUAUCUCACGCCUGCUUUCUUUCCUCUUUGUAUGUGAAGACACACAGAAGUGCUUUUAUUUUGACCUUUACAUCUGAAAAAAGCUGCUGUGAUACUUCCUACAGUUGUGUAGAUGGAACUGCCGUUCUCUGGCUUUGAGCUGACCUUCAUCAUCAUUGCCUUCGUCAUUUUCUCGCUCUUCGGCUUGGCUUCAGUCUGCAUCCAACCAGAAGCAACACAUACAGAAAAAGGUGUCUGUAAAGCAAAGGGCUCACGACCAUUUCACAGAAAGCAGAGAGUGAUCACCAAGCAAGCUGGACAGAAACCAUGAAGUAAAAGUCAGAGACUUUGAGCUUAAUCUGGUGUACUGCAGGGUUUAAAUGUAAAGUCCUCACAAAUGAACUGAAACAUUUUGAAUAUUUUUUAAUUAAAGAAUGUCAUUAUGGCA